rnacentral:rRNA from 1 species
GACGUAGGAGGCGAGCGUUGUCCGGAUUCAUUGGGCGUAAAGAGCGCGCAGGCGGCUUGGUAAGUCGGAUGUGAAAUCCCGAGGCUCAACCUCGGGUCUGCAUCCGAUACUGCCCGGCUAGAGGUAGGUAGAGGAGAUCGGAAUUCCUGGUGUAGCGGUGAAAUGCGCAGAUAUCAGGAGGAACACCGGUGGCGAAGGCGGAUCUCUGGGCCUUACCUGACGCUGAGGCGCGAAGGCGCGGGGAGCGAACGGG